UACGGAGGAUCCGAGCGUUAUCCGGAUUUAUUGGGUUUAAAGGGUGCGCAGGCGGGAGAUUAAGUCGGCGGUGAAAUUUUGCAGCUCAACUGUAAAAGUGCCUUCGAAACUGGUUUCCUUGAGUGUAGAUGAAGUAGGCGGAAUUUGUGGUGUAGCGGUGAAAUGCAUAGAUAUCACGAGGAACUCCGAUUGCGCAGGAAGCUUACUAAACUACUACUGACGCUCAGGCACGAAGGCGUGGGGAUCAAACAGGAUUAGAUACCCUGGUAGU
rnacentral:rRNA from 1 species